AACAUAUCAAUAAGCGGAGGAAAAGAAACUAACAAGGAUUCCCCUAGUAACGGCGAGUGAAGCGGGAAGAGCUCAAAUUUGAAAUCUGGCUGCCUCUGGUGGUCCGAGUUGUAAUCUAGAGAGGUGUUUUCCGUGCUGGCUCAUGUACAGGUCCCUUGGAAUAGGGCAUCAUAGAGGGUGAGAAUCCCGUACUUGACAUGAACUACCAGUGCUCUGUGAUACACUUUCGACGAGUCGAGUUGUUUGGGAAUGCAGCUCAAAAUGGGUGGUAAAUUCCAUCUAAAGCUAAAUAUUGGCGAGAGACCGAUAGCGAACAAGUACCGUGAGGGAAAGAUGAAAAGCACUUUGGAAAGAGAGUUAAACAGUAUGUGAAAUUGUUAAAAGGGAAACGAUUGAAGUCAGUCGUGCCAUUCGGACUCAGCCGGCUCUGCCGGUCUACUUCCGUUUGGUGGGGUCAACACCAGUUUCGCUCGUCGGAAAAGGGCUGGAGGAAGGUAGCACUCUAGGGUGAACUUAUAGCCUCCUGUCGCAUACGUCGGGUGGGACUGAGGAACGCAGCACGCCUUACGGCAGGGAUUCGUCCACUUACGUGCUUAGGAUGUUGACAUAAUGGCUUUAAACGACCCGU
rnacentral:rRNA from 1 species